rnacentral:lncRNA from 1 species
GAAAACUCAAGCAUAUUUCGUAUAACUCAAUAACAGAGAAUGGACUCGAACAACUCCAAUUCUCAGUUCUUAACUUUCAGCCGACGUUGGCAGUUUGUGACAACAAUUUUCACCGGAAUUGCGAAGGAGGUGGCGAUGCUACUGCUGCGACAUCGACUCGUGGCAGUCCUUGAUGGAAAAUUUGUGGAGAAAAAAGCUGAGAGAUUUCAAAUCUACAGACAUAUGGCGGAUCUGUUACAGCUGGUGACCAUG